rnacentral:rRNA from 1 species
UGAGGAAUAUUGGUCAAUGGACGGAAGUCUGAACCAGCCAAGUAGCGUGCAGGAUGACGGCCCUAUGGGUUGUAAACUGCUUUUGUAUGGGGAUAAAGUCAAUCACGUGUGAUUGUUUGCAGGUACCAUACGAAUAAGGACCGGCUAAUUCCGUGCCAGCAGCCGCGGUAAUACGGAAGGUUCGGGCGUUAUCCGGAUUUAUUGGGUUUAAAGGGAGCGUAGGCCGGAGAUUAAGUGUGUUGUGAAAUGUAGACGCUCAACGUCUGACUUGCAGCGCAUACUGGUUUCCUUGAGUACGCACAACGUUGGCGGAAUUCGUCGUGUAGCGGUGAAAUGCUUAGAUAUGACGAAGAACUCCGAUUGCGAAGGCAGCUGACGGGAGCGCAACUGACGCUGAAGCUCGAAGGUGCGGGUAUCGAACAGGAUUAGAUACCCUGGUAGUCCGCACAGUAAACGAUGGAUGCCCGCUGUUGGUACCUGGUAUCAGCGGCUAAGCGAAAGCAUUAAGCAUCCCACCUGGGGGAGUACGCCGGCAACGGUG